rnacentral:rRNA from 1 species
AGAGUUUGAUCCUGGCUCAGGACGAACGCUGGCGGCGUGCUUAACACAUGCAAGUCGAACGGGAUUACGUUGGAAGUCCUUCGGGGCGGAAGAUUUAAUUCGAGUGGCGGACGGGUGAGUACGCGUGAGCAACCUGUCCCAGACAGGGGGAUAACACUUGGAAACAGGUGCUAAUACCGCUAAGACCACGGCACCACAUGGUGCAGGGGUAAAAGGUGCAAACCGGUUUGGGGUGGGCUCCGUCCGAUUAGAUAGUUGGUGAGGUAACGGCCCACCAAGUCGACGAUCGGUAGCCGGACUAGAGGUUGGCCGGCCACAUUGGAACUGAGAGACGGCCCAGACUCCUACGGGAGGCAGCAGGGGGAAUAUUGCACAAUGGGCGCAAGCCUGAUGCAGCGACGCCGCGUGAGGGAUGACGGCUUCGGGUUGUAAACCUCUUUCAGCAGGGAAGAAGCGCAAGUGACGGUACCUGCAGAAGAACACCGGCUAACUACGUGCCAGCAGCCGCGGUAAUACGUAGGGUGCGAGCGUUGUCCGGAAUAUUGGGCGUAAAGAGCUUGUAGGUGGUUUGUCGCGUCUGCUGUGAAAAUCCGAGGCUCACCUCGGACUUGCAGUGGGUACGGGCAGACUAGAGUGUGGUAGGGGAGACUGGAAUUCCUGUGUAGCGGUGGAAUGCGCAGAUAUCAGGAGGAACACCGAUGGCGAAAGCAGGUCUCUGGGCAUUACUGACACUGAGAAGCGAAAGCAUGGGGAGCGAACAGGAUUAGAUACCCUGGUAGUCAUGCCGUAAACGUUGGGAACUAGGUGUGGGUCUCAUUCCACGAGAUCCGUGCCGCAGCU